AUGAGCAGCAGGCUCCCCUGUGAUCCGCAUCCGAGGACGACGAAGAAGGCGUCGGCAUCCGCCGCGGCGGUGCAGCAGCAUCGAAUUCUUCUCCGCCCUCUCCGGCCAAACCGACGAGAAAUUAUCUCCGGCGUCUUCUUUGCCGCUUCUGAUGCUGAUCAACUGAUUGCAGAGGCCGCCGAUCGGAGGGGAAAGACGAAGCUCAGGGCUGAGAUCGGGAAGCAUGACUAUGACUGGCUUCUGACUCCUCCGGCGACGCCUCUCUCGUGCUCCCCGGCGCUGAGCCGGCUGACGAGGGCCACAUCGGCGUCGAACGCCAAGAGCAAUUCGCCGCUCUCCCGGGCACGCCAGGAGAAGGGGAGCAGCUCAUCACUCAACACGACGGUGCUCGCGUCCUCGGGUCGCCUGCCGCACGUCAGGAGGACUCUGUCGUCGGCGUCUUCGUCUUCAGUCAAAGCCACGAGCAGCGCGUCGGGGAGAUCGACGCCGGCGACGAGCCCCCGACCGCCAGCCGCUGCUGCCGCCUGUCGGCCCCCUCCCCAGGAUAAAACACACGGACGACGGCUGUCCUCCGGCUCCGGUGCCGCCAGCCAACCCAAGGGACCGUCGUCGUCGAGUACCGCGCGGCCACGCGCUCCCACGACCGGUGCCUCCAGCCCCAAGUCAACUACCAGAGCGGCGUCAGAGCAACCGGCGCUGACCAGACGUGGCGCCAACGCCGUGGCACAUUCGAGGUUCGCGGGCCAGCUGAGUCGUGAUGCAAUGUCAACGGCUCAGGCCGCGGAAAAUGCCGUGCCUCCCAGUAUGGUCAAGACGCGACCCGUGCCGGCGACCGUGAAGCAGAGGAGCCACGGCAACGGCACGGCCACAUCCCCGGCGACCGCUGCCUCCCGGAGCGCGCCGAGAGGGGACUUGCUAGCCAGUAAAAGAUUGUCAAGGACCGGUGGCGACGGCCGAAAGACCCACGACGACGAGAAGGCCGCACCCCGUCCAACCGUGGGGUUCGGCUCAUCCGUCGCGAGCACGCGCCGUUGUCUCACGAAGCGCGACUCUCGGAAGCUCACGGUGAACGAGGGCGGCGAGCAGCGGAGUACCCGAUCCGUACCGUCCGGAGGCCGCUUAGGGUCCGCGGCCACGGUCUCGGACGCCAGGGGCCGCCGGCGGUCCACGGCUGGGAAAGACAAGGUCGCGGUCGUGGUCGCCGCGCCGGACGCGUUCCCGAGCACGCGGUACGACGCCAUGCUGCUGCGGGAGGACCCCAAGAACCUCACGUGGCUGAACGGAUGCGGGGAGGACGACGACGGUGAAGAUGGGAGCUGCGGCGCAGGCUUGGUCGACGGCUCGCUGGAGCCGUUUCACGUGUGA
rnacentral:rRNA from 1 species